ensembl:misc_RNA Metazoa_SRP Metazoan signal recognition particle RNA
GCCACACAUGGUGGCAUGUACUUGUAGUUCCAGCUACUUGGGAGGCAGAGAUGGGGUGGAUCCUUGGGCCCAGGAAGUCUGGGGUUGUAGUGCACUGUGCUCAUUGUGUGUCCUCACCAAGUUUGGCAUCAAUAUGGUGACCUGCUGGGUGUAGGAGACUGCCAGAUUGCCUAAAAAGUGAAAUGGACCAGAUAUGAAAUGAAGCAGGUCUAAACUCCCAUGCUGAUCAGUAGUGGCCUGUGAAUAGCCACUGCACUCUGGACUGGGGCAACAUAGUACGACCCUAUAA